CGCCGCCUGGCUAGAUUAAUGGCCAGGAGCCUCGCACAUAAUGAAGUGUGCUACCUUGGCACCCGCUCAUGAAUUUAUUAUGGUGUCCACAAUUGGGCUGGAUGGCGGAGACAUCUUUAUAAAUCCUGCAUUUAGCGCAGCCGAGAUGAGCAGUUCACCACUAAUGGUGCGGCUGAUUUAUCACCAGGGGCGCCGCUCCUCAGCCAGGCCCCUCCCCGGCACUUCACCAAGGAAAUACAGGUCAUCUUGCUGAUGGAGAUGAAAUGUGAAGCUUUAUCAAACAGCCUCGUUCCAGCCAUGCUUGACAAACCUGCCUGCAACUUCCCUUCAAGCAGGGGUGGAUUUUUCCAAGAGAUCCCCUGCCUUCUGCAGCUCUGGGAAGUCAAGAUCAUUCCAGCCACAGCCUUUGGUGGCAGUGCCCAGCAGCCAGCAACUGUCCUUCUAAUCAACUGCUUCUAAGCAGACAGUGCCAUUUUAAAUACUAGUCAUGGGGCACCUUGUGCAGAACCACUCAAGGAGUCCAGUCCUUUCCCAGAGGCAUCAUGAUCCUGUUCUAUCUGGUUUCAUCUCCCGGUGAUUUAGGCUGGAUUUAGAAGCACUUAAGAAGACUGAGACACCUCUGGAAUUAACAGAAGGGAAAAGACACACACUAAGUGUGGAAAUGCUGUCCCAUAAGCUUGGUGCCAGAUGAAAUAAAAUGGACAAAAAGGGAA